CCUACGGGAGGCAGCAGUGGGGAAUAUUGCGCAAUGGGCGAAAGCCUGACGCAGCGACGCCGCGUGAGGGAUGAAGGUCUUCGGAUCGUAAACCUCUGUCAGCAGGGAAGAACGGUCACUGUGCUAAUCAGCAGUGAAUUGACGGUACCUGCAAAGGAAGCACCGGCUAACUCCGUGCCAGCAGCCGCGGUAAUACGGAGGGUGCGAGCGUUAAUCGGAAUUACUGGGCGUAAGGCGCUCGUAGGCGGUAUGUCAAGUCAAGGGUGAAAUCCCCGCGCUCAACGUGGGAACUGCCUUUGAAACUGGCAAACUGGAGUGUGUGAGAGGAUAGUGGAAUGCCAGGUGUAGGAGUGAAAUGCGUAGAUAUCUGGAGGAACAUCAGUGGCGAAGGCGACUAUCUGGCACAUAACUGACGCUGAGGAGCGAAAGCGUGGGUAGCAAACAGGAUUAGAUACCCGAGUAGUC
rnacentral:rRNA from 1 species